GACGAACGCUGGCGGCGUGCUUAACACAUGCAAGUCGAACGGAAAGGCCCUGCUUUUGUGGGGUUCUCGAGUGGCGAACGGGUGAGUAACACGUGAGUAACCUGCCCUUUACUUUGUUAUAUCUUCAGGUAACUGGGGCUAAUACCUUAUAGGAUCUCCUGCUGCUUGUUGGGGGUUGGUAAGUUUCGGCGGUUGGUGAUGGACUCGCGGCUUAUCAGCUUGUUGGUGGGGUAGUGGCUUACCAAGGCUUUGACGGGUAGGCAGCCUGAGAGGGUUACCGGCCAAAAUGGGACUGAGAGACGGAACAGAAUAGAACGGGAGGCAGCAGGGGGGAAUAGUGCAAAAUGGGCGGAAGCCUGAUGAAGAAACGCGGCGUGCGGGAUGACGGACUUCGGGUUGUAAACAGCUGUAGACUGUGACGAAGAGUGAGUGACGGUAAUGGGUAAAGAAGCACCGGCUAACUACGUG
rnacentral:rRNA from 1 species